rnacentral:rRNA from 1 species
UGCCAGCAGCCGCGGUAACACGGGGGGCGCAAGCGUUAUUCGGAAUUAUUGGGCGUAAAGCGCGUGUAGGCGGUUCGUUAAGUCUGAUGUGAAAGCCCGGGGCUCAACCCCGGAAGUGCAUUGGAAACUGGCGAACUUGAGUACGGGAGAGGAAAGUGGAAUUCCGAGUGUAGGGGUGAAAUCCGUAGAUAUUCGGAGGAACACCAGUGGCGAAGGCGACUUCCUGGGCCGACACUGACGCUGAGGCGCGAAAGCGUGGGGAGCAAACAGGAUUAGAUA